AUUGAACGCUGGCGGCAGGCUUAACACAUGCAAGUCGAGCGGGGGAAGGUAGCUUGCUACCGGACCUAGCGGCGGACGGGUGAGUAAUGCUUAGGAAUCUGCCUAUUAGUGGGGGACAACAUCUCGAAAGGGAUGCUAAUACCGCAUACGUCCUACGGGAGAAAGCAGAGGAUCUUCGGACCUUGCGCUAAUAGAUGAGCCUAAGUCGGAUUAGCUAGUUGGUGGGGUAAAGGCCUACCAAGGCGACGAUCUGUAGCGGGUCUGAGAGGAUGAUCCGCCACACUGGGACUGAGACGCGGCCCAGACUCCUACGGGAGGCAGCAGUGUGGAAUAUUGGACAAUGGGGGGAACCCUGAUCCAGCCAUGCCGCGUGUGUGAAGAAGGCCUUAUGGUUGUAAAGCACUUUAAGCGAGGAGGAGGCUACUCUAGUUAAUACCUAGGGAUAGUGGACGUUACUCGCAGAAUAAGCACCGGCUAACUCUGUGCCAGCAGCAGCCGCGG
rnacentral:rRNA from 1 species